AACGAACGCUGGCGGCAGGCUUAACACAUGCAAGUCGAGCGCCUCGCAAGAGGAGCGGCAGACGGGUGAGUAACGCGUGGGAACGUACCCUUAUCUUCGGAAUAGCUCUGAGAAACUGGAAGUAAUACCGAAUGUGCCCUUAGGGGGAAAGAUUUAUCGGAUAAGGAUCGGCCCGCGUUGGAUUAGCUAGUUGGUGGGGUAAAGGCCUACCAAGGCGACGAUCCAUAGCUGGUCUGAGAGGAUGAUCAGCCACAUUGGGACUGAGACACGGCCCAAACUCCUACGGGAGGCAGCAGUGGGGAAUAUUGGACAAUGGGCGCAAGCCUGAUCCAGCCAUGCCGCGUGAGUGAUGAAGGCCUUAGGGUUGUAAAGCUCUUUCACCGGAGAAGAUAAUGACGGUAUCCGGAGAAGAAGCCCCGGCUAACUUCGUG
rnacentral:rRNA from 1 species